CCUACGGGAGGCAGCAGUGGGGAAUAUUGGACAAUGGGGGCAACCCUGAUCCAGCAAUGCCGCGUGAGUGAUGAAGGCCUUAGGGUUGUAAAGCUCUUUUACCAGGGAUGAUAAUGACAGUACCUGGAGAAUAAGCUCCGGCUAACUCCGUGCCAGCAGCCGCGGUAAUACGGAGGGAGCUGGCGUUGUUCGGAAUUACUGGGCGUAAAGCGCACGUAGGCGGUUACUCAAGUCAGAGGUGAAAGCCCGGGGCUCAACCCCGGAACUGCCUUUGAAACUAGGUAGCUAGAAUCCUGGAGAGGUGAGUGGAAUUCCGAGUGUAGAGGUGAAAUUCGUAGAUAUUCGGAAGAACACCAGUGGCGAAGGCGGCUC
rnacentral:rRNA from 1 species